rnacentral:rRNA from 1 species
CCUACGGGAGGCAGCAGUGAGGAAUAUUGGUCAAUGGGCGCAAGCCUGAACCAGCCAAGUCGCGUGAGGGAUGACGGUCCUGUGGGUUGUAAACCUCUUUUGUCGGGGAGCAGAAGACGCCACGCGUGCCGUUCCGAGAGUACCCCAAGAAAAAGCAUCGGCUAACUCCGUGCCAGCCGCCGCGGUAAUAGGGAGGCUGCGAGCGUUAUCCGGAUUUAUUGGGUUUAAAGGGUGCGCAGGCGGAAAAUCAAGUCAGCGGUAAAAUUGAGGGGGUCAACCUCGUCGUGCCGUUGAAACUGGUUUCCUUGAGUGAGUGAGAAGUAGGCGGAAUGCGUGGUGUAGCGGUGAAAUGCAUAGAUAUCACGCAGAACUCCGAUUGCGAAGGCAGCAUACCGGCGCUCAACUGACGCUGAGGCACGAAAGUGUGGGUAUCGAACAGGAUUAGAUACCCUAGUAGUC